UAAUAAUAAAAAAUUAAUUCUCUGUCAUGGAGUGGAAAAUGCACUGUUGUGCUCUCUUGUGAUCACAUGGAGGUUUACUGCCCUAAGAUCCUGAGAUAUUGUCCAGAGUCAAUUGACCUCUCCUUGAAAUGGGUAAGAGUCUGAAACUUCUAUAUAUGCGUGCAUUCUAUUUGCAGAGGAGAUGCAGCUGUAGAUGUGCAGUACUCAUGACUCUAGGGAUUAUAGAUUUAUAUCCUAAUGGUGAUGAAAGAGAAUUUUAACUAGUAGCUGAUAGUGUAUUUUUAUCACUGGUUUUUAAACUUACUUUUAGCAGUAAUGGCUUAGAUCAAUAAUCUAUUGAUAGCUUAUUCAAGCUGAAGGUUUCAAUUCAUCCUCGCCAAACAAGGUAUUUCCAUUGUUCAUUAUUACAUGCAGCUUCCAUUUGAACUCUGAACUCAUAAAUCAUAAAUGAAUGUGAAGUGUUCAUUUCUCUCUUUCAGCACUACCUUUAUCUAAUAUUUGCUGACAGGGCUCAUUGUAACUUAUUUCUGAGUGCAGUCAGGCCUUGUUUUAUGAACAGAAUUCAUUGUUGGAAAGGAUUCUAUAAAUAGAACUUAAGGGGCACCAAAAUGAGAAAUUCUACCUCAUUAGCAUCUUUACUGGAAAAAUCUGAUCUAAUACACAGGAAUUUUGAGCUGAUGAAACACAAGCAAAUCUCAAAAUAGAUUCUAAAGGGUUAUGCUGUGAAUGGACUAUUAGUAUGUUACUGUUUAGGGUGAUAGAAAGAGAAAAGAGAUUCAAGGUAGUAUAUAUUAGAAUAAGAGGAGAAAAAAACAACAUUGAUAUUACAAAGAAGUAUGUAUACAGUGGGUUAUUUUCUGGUAUUUUGAGUUGUCUUCUUCAGGUGAGGCUUGUAUGAAAUCAAAAUCCUGUAACAAAAUAGCCCUGCUUAUCUUCCUCAUAUGUAAGAGACAGAGAUGUCUCCUCUAGCAAUGCUAGGUAGUGAAGUGGUAAAGCAAAUUUAUGGAGAAGUGAUUCUGUUUCAGCAUCUCAAGGAGGAUUACUAAUGGAAAAUAUAUUAAUCCUCUGAACUAUCUAUUCUCAUGGAAGACUAAAGGCUUAUUGCAUCAGCCUAGAAGUAUGUCCUCUGGGGACAACGUGAGGAUCUGUGCACAAGUUCUGUGUUGAAUGUGUCUGGCACAUAGUGCCUGCCAGAAGUUGAAAGUCUGGUGCUAGGGCAUGCAUGAAGACUCUGUCCUAACUCUUCCCAUGCUGGGUGACUUCAAAUGUGGCUGAAUAAUUAAUUAAUUAAGUCAGGAUAUUAUUUCAUGAUAACAAAACUAACUUAUUUCUUCACUUCCUCUUUCCCCAGUGAGAAACAAAGUAUACUGACUAUGCAGAGAGAGAUCCUAUUGUCUUGAGACACAGUUUCAGAUACAUUUCUCUGAAGCAACUAUCUAUAGCACAGUAUUACUGUCGUGGAUGGGACCAUAACGUGAAGUGGUGGCCUGGAUAAAAGCCAGUUGGUGGACAUGAAGACAAGGCUGAAUCUUAACUCGCAGUGUGUGGUCUCUGUGAGGCAUUACAUAUAACAGUUCCAUUGAGCAUCAAAUCAUCAGACCCUCAAGAACCUCUUGAAGUGACAAGCCUUUAAUAUCUCAGCAGCAAUGUGGAAAACCUCAUGCGAUAGCACAGUCUCCGCUUUCUAGGUCAGUUGUUUCUCUAGUGAGUACAAAUAUGCAGCAGAACAAACAUAUUUCUCUAUGUUUAAUGAAAACCAUGAGCACUCUCACAGAACCUGAACUGUGUAAAACUGGUCAUGUAGGCGAAAGAUCAUGAAAGUUUCUCUGAGCUCCUGUGCCAAAAAUAGUGGACAUUUGCUAUCUAGAAUCAAAGAGCUGCUAUAAAAAGAUGAUUCUAAGCCUGUGGAGUAUCUGUGUCAUUAGUCAGGAGGGUUUAUUUUUGGAAUAAGCGUUGACAAUGCCACUUACAAUCAAGGCAGACAUAAAGCUACUGAACCAUGAGCUCCAGGAGCAGCGUUACACAGAGAACACUGUGACUCUAAUGUGAGGAAAACCAGGGUGCGUUACCAUCUGUGAGCUUUCUAUCUUAGAGAAGAAAUGAUAAUUAUAUUACAGAACCACAUAAUUCUUGCAGAAGUUUCCUAAGCUCUGUGUUUCCCAGAAAACUCAAAGGCCUUAUAUGUGAUGACCCUUUCUCUAGGCCAGAAGGGCAAGAUGCUGUUCAUUGUUUAUCAGCCAGUAGUGGCUGAUUAAGUGUCAGAAGACAUGUUCAUUACCCAAGUGCAGAGCUUGAAGGCUCUCUGCAAUCACAGCAUUUUCUGACCCUCAUGCUCACACUCUGGUACACUUGGGGAUUUUUUAUGAUUGAAGUAGAAAUUUGUAUUUCCAAAAAAAGUUAGUGUCUGUCCAUUUUUCUAGUCCUCAGUACCACUGUAAUUGAGGGCUUUGCAAUCUUGCCCUUAAGAAGCCCUGCAAAUAUUUUCAAGCAGCAAAGCAAGGCAUAGACUUAAUUUGUUCAAGGUCACUGAAGAAAUCUCUGAUGGAACAGAAUUCAAGUUUCCCAAGUGCAGCUGUCCUCAGUGGUACUGUCAUCUUCUGACAAAGGAUAUCUUUUAUUAGAAGACUUUAUUCCAACUGAUAGGCUGAGUCAAUUUAUUUUGCUGCACUUCUGGAGUGGAGCUGUAUCCAAAUGCAGUCUCCUGGCCAGAACUUGCUGCAAAUGGCAAAGCGUCAUACCAGUGUGCUUGUAAAGACAAAACGAUAGAGCAAAGUACAAGCUGGCAGCCUAGCCAGUUGUUCUUCUGGAGCACAGCUGCCUGGUAUAAUGCACAUGUGGCCUAAUGGUACAUGUCUGGGCAGAAAAAGACUCCUGGUGACUCAUAAUUUCUAAUUUACACAGAUGUAGUACAUGGUGGCAUAUAGGCAUUAGUCCUUUUCCUAUUUAAAAUAAAUGAAUUGUCUGGCUUCAAAUUCAAAUUUUUUUUUGAAGCUGAGAAAGUUGUGCAGGUCUCCAUGUGUAAUAGAUAGUUACUGUUACACUGAAUUAUGUAUCUAGAAAGCAGAAUUUAUACAGGUAAUAUGUAAUUCAAAAUAUUUACUAUGCUUAAAUUAAGCAUUUCCCUGCUCACCUUCCUCUGAUCUUGAAGAGCACUGCAGACCACAUCUUUUUCCACUGCUUGCACUGUGGUAUGUCUUAUUUAAUACAUCUCUUCAGGCUAUAUUACUCAGUCCAGCUUAGCAGCAGAAUUUGGAGUCUGCUACUACAUAGACCAUCUGGGAGCUCUGCAAAGAUGGAGAGAGUUCUGCUUCACUUUCUACAGGAUUGAGACUAUAAGGAAAAUGUCAGAAAAAUUACAAAAAACAAGGUGGGGAGGGACUUCCCUCUUUCUCAGUGAUUAUUAGAGAUAGACACAGCACUCCAACCUUCUUCCUUUCUACAGAGUUCUAUUUCCAAGUCACACUUCUGUUUAUGCUUUCUGUUUAUGCACAUUUCUGUUAUUCUUUGAGUUGCAUAAAAUCCU